rnacentral:rRNA from 1 species
GACGAACGCUGGCGGCGUGCUUAACACAUGCAAGUCGAACGGUAAGGCCUCUUCGGGGGUACACGAGUGGCGAACGGGUGAGUAACACGUGAGUAACCUGCCCCAGUCUCUGGGAUAACUUCUGGAAACAGGUGCUAAUACCGGAUAUUCAGCUUUCCUCGCAUGGGGUUUGUUGGAAAGGUUUUCUGGUCUGGGAUGGACUCGCGGCCUAUCAGCUUGUUGGUGAGGUAGUGGCUCACCAAGGCUUCGACGGGUAGCCGGCCUGAGAGGGUGACCGGCCACAUUGGGACUGAGAUACGGCCCAAACUCCUACGGGAGGCAGCAGUGGGGAAUAUUGCACAAUGGGCGGAAGCCUGAUGCAGCAACGCCGCGUGCGGGAUGACGGCCUUCGGGUUGUAAACCGCUUUCAGUGGGGACGAAGUUUUUUGUGACGGUACCCACAGAAGAAGCACCGGCUAACUACGUGCCAGCAGCCGCAGUAACAC